rnacentral:rRNA from 1 species
GCUUACACAUGCAAGUCGAGCGAGAACCAGUCCUUCGGGACUGGGGGACAGCGGCGAACGGGUGAGUAACACGUGGGUAAUCUGCCCUCGGCACUGGGAUAGCCCGGGGAAACCCGGAUUAAUACCGGAUAGCCUUUCGAGUCCUCGGACUCGUCAGAAAAGGUGGCUUCGGCAUCUGGCCGAGGAUGAGCCCGCGGCGGAUUAGCUUGUUGGUGGGGUAAUGGCCCACCAAGGCGACGAUCCGUAGCUGGUCUGAGAGGACGAUCAGCCACACUGGGACUGAGACACGGCCCAGACUCCUACGGGAGGCAGCAGUGGGGAAUUGUUCGCAAUGGGCGCAAGCCUGACGACGCAACGCCGCGUGGAGGAUGAAGAUCUUCGGGUCGUAAACUCCUUUCGAUCGGGACGAAUGGCCGGUGACCUAAUACGUCAUCGGAGUGACGGUACCGAGAGAAGAAGCCCCGGCUAACUCCGUGCCAGCAGCCGCGGUAAUACGGGGGGGGCAAGCGUUGUUCGGAAUUACUGGGCGUAAAGGGCGCGUAGGCGGCCUGCUAAGUCGGAUGUGAAAUCCCUCGGCUCAACCGAGGAACUGCAUCCGAUACUGGCGGGCUGGAAUCCGGGAGAGGGAUGUGGAAUUCCAGGUGUAGCGGUGAAAUGCGUAGAUAUCUGGAGGAACACCGGUGGCGAAGGCGGCAUCCUGGACCGGUAUUGACGCUGAGGCGCGAAAGCUAGGGGAGCAAACGGGAUUAGAUACCCCGGUAGUCCUAGCCCUAAACGAUGAGUGCUUGGUGUGGCGGGUAUCGAUCCCUGCCGUGCCGAAGCUAACGCAUUAAGCACUCCGCCUGGGGAGUACGGUCGCAAGGCUGAAGCUCAAAGGAAUUGACGGGGGCCCGCACAAGCGGUGGAGCAUGUGGUUCAAUUCGACGCAACGCGAAGAACCUUACCCAGGCUCGAACGGCAGAUGACAUCCGGCGAAAGUCGGCUCCCGCAAGGGUAUCUGUCGAGGUGCUGCAUGGCUGUCGUCAGCUCGUGUCGUGAGAUGUUGGGUUAAGUCCCGCAACGAGCGCAACCCUUGUCUUCUGUUGCCAUCACGUUAUGGUGGGCACUCUGAGGAGACUGCCGGUGACAAACCGGAGGAAGGUGGGGAUGACGUCAAGUCAGCAUGGCCUUUAUGUCUGGGGCUACACACGUGCUACAAUGGCCGGUACAAACCGUCGCGAUCUCGUAAGAGGGAGCUAAUCGGAGAAAGCCGGUCUCAGUUCGGAUUGUAGGCUGCAACUCGCCUGCAUGAAGUUGGAAUCGCUAGUAAUCGCGGAUCAGCACGCCGCGGUGAUACGUCCCGGGCAUGCACACACCG